GAUGAACGCUGGCGGCGUGCCUAACACAUGCAAGUCGAACGGAGUGCCCAGGAGGAAGUUUUCGGAUGGAAUUCGAAGGCACUUAGUGGCGGACGGGUGAGUAACACGUGGGUAACCUGCCUCAUAGAGGGGGAUAACAGAGAGAAAUCACUGCUAAUACCGCAUAAGCACACACUGCCGCAUGGCAGGGGGUGAAAAGAGAUAUCGCUAUGAGAUGGACCCGCGACUGAUUAGCCGGUUGGUAAGGUAAGGGCUUACCAAAGCAACGAUCAGUAGCCGAUCUGAGAGGAUGAACGGCCACAUUGGGACUGAGACACGGCCCAAACUCCUACGGGAGGCAGCAGUGGGGGAUAUUGCACAAUGGGGGGAACCCUGAUGCAGCGACGCCGCGUGAGUGAAGAAGUAUUUCGGUAUGUAAAGCUCUAUCAGCAGGGAAGAUAAUGACAGUACCUGAAUAAGAAGCCCCGGCUAACUACGUGCCAGCAGCCGCGGUAAUACGUAGGGGGCAAGCGUUAUCCGGAUUUACUGGGUGUAAAGGGAGCGUAGACGGAACGGCAAGUCUGAAGUGAAAACCCGUGGCUCAACCGCGGGACUGCUUUGGAAACUGUCGAUCUAGAGUGUCGGAGAGGUAAGUGGAAUUCCUGGUGUAGCGGUGAAAUGCGUAGAUAUCAGGAAGAACACCGGAGGCGAAGGCGGCUUACUGGACGAAGACUGACGUUGAGGCUCGAAAGCGUGGGAAGCAAACAGG
rnacentral:rRNA from 1 species